rnacentral:rRNA from 1 species
GGAGUCUAGCAUGUGCGCGAGUCAUUGGGACUUGAAUACCUAAAGGCAAAAUGAAAGUGAAGGUGUACCUUUGCGUAUACUUAGGGAAGAUGGGUUAUCCAAAGUGGUAGCCCCGCAUUCCCGGGGCGUCUCGUUCUCUCACAUGCCUUGCGUGUGUGACGAGUUGAGGCGCACCCAGAGCGUACACGCUGGGACCCGAAAGAUGGUGAACUAUGCCUGGUCAGGAUGAAGUCAGGGGAAACCCUGAUGGAGGUCCGUAGCGAUUCUGACGUGCAAAUCGAUCGUAAGAACUGGGUAUAGGGGCGAAAGACUAAUCGAACCAUCUAGUAGCUGGUUCCCUCCGAAGUUUCCCUCAGGAUAGCUGGCAUUCGUUAUGCUUUAAUUAACAUUAAUGAGUCUCAUCCGGUAAAGCGAAUGAUUAGAGGCAUUGGGGUCGAAACGGCCUCAACCUAUUCUCAAACUUUAAAUGGGUAAGAUCUCCGGCUUGCUUAAAUAAUGAAGCCGCGAGAAAGGAUCAAGGAGCGCCAAGUGGGCCAAUUUUGGUAAGCAGAACUGGCGCUGUGGGAUGAACCAAACGUAGAGUUAAAGCGCCUAAAUUAACGCUUAUGGGAUACCAUGAAAGGCGUUGGUAACUUAAGACAGCAGGACGGUGGCCAUGGAA